AUUGAACGCUGGCGGCCAGCCUAACACAUGCAAGUCGAACGAGUGGCGGACGGGUGAGCAAUGUCUGGGAAACUGCCUGAUGGCGGGGGCUAACUACUGGAAACGGUAGCUAAUACCGCAUACCAUCGGAUUUGCCCAGAUGGGAUUAGCUAGUAGGUGGGGUAACGGCUCACCUAGGCGACGAUCCCUCGCUGGUCUGAGAGGAUGACCAGGCACACUGGAACUGAGACACGGUCCAGACUCGUACGGGAGGCAGCAGGGGGGAAUAUUGCACAAUGGGCGCAAGCCUGAUGCAGCCAUGCCGCGUGUAUGAAGAAGGCCGUCGGGUUGUAAAGUACUUUCAGCGGGGAGGCGUUACCAGCAGAAUAAGCACCGGCUAACUCCGUGCCAGCAGCCGCGGUAAUUC
rnacentral:rRNA from 1 species